rnacentral:rRNA from 1 species
CGUCUAGGCGGGGAAUUAAGUUAGGUGUGAAAUCCAUGGGCUCAACUCGUGAAUGGCAUCUAAAACUGGUUCUCUUGAGUCUGGGAGAGGAGAGCAGAAUUCCUGGUGUAGCGGUGAAAUGCGUAGAUAUCAGGAGGAAUACCAGUGGCGAAGGCGGCUCUCUGGCCUAGGACUGACGCUGAAGCGCGAAAGCGUGGGGAGCGAACG